rnacentral:rRNA from 1 species
UACGUAGGGUGCAAGCGUUAAUCGGAAUUACUGGGCGUAAAGCGUGCGCAGGCGGUUAUGUAAGACAGAUGUGAAAUCCCCGGGCUUAACCUGGGAACUGCAUUUGUGACUGCAUAGCUAGAGUACGGUAGAGGGGGAUGGAAUUCCGCGUGUAGCAGUGAAAUGCGUAGAUAUGCGGGAGGAACACCGAUGGCGAAGGCAAUCCCCUGGACCUGUACUGACGCUCAUGCACGAAAGCGUGGGGAGCAACAGG